AUCAUCUUGUGUAACAAGUCUGAACCGGAAGUGAUCCACGCCAUUGUCGUAGACAAGCGCUGCGCAAAGCACAGAUGAAUCCUGACUUCGACACCAACAAAAAGAAAGUAUAUUAACACAAUUGACUAAUGGGCAAGAGAAAUAUAUUUCAACAAACCCGCUGCUGUGGGAAACGACCUCUACGAGACAGUUACAUGUCAGAAGAUGUGAGCAAGCAAGCUGCCUCCGACCUCCUACACGAACUGAACUUCGCGGCCUGAAAUCCACGGACGCAUGCAAACGGCUUUGUAAAAGGACGUACGAACAACUUUUCCUACAAGAUUCUGGUGACUGGCAGACCUCCAGCUCGGCUGUCCGUCUCUCAGAGUCUGUAUGGGAACCAGCCGCUGCAGACGAGAUCAUUAUUGCCUCAUUCAUUAGAGUCAUCGUUUAAGGUUCGGAUCUGCCCACUGUCCAGCUCAGGGCUGUUCUCAGGACACAAACACAACUUCAUGCUCUACAGGAGCCUGGAGUCUCCUGGUUCUCCUCACCACUUGAGGGGCCCGUCACCUCUGCCUUAUUGGUUUCGAGUGGAUUUGAGUAUCUGACCUGAUCACCCGGAGCUGAUAAGAUGUGUGCAGUUGUUGUCUUUCAUCGCCUUGGAUGAAACAUUCCUCCGCAAUAAUUUGGAGGA